GACGAACGCUGGCGGCGUGCCUAACACAUGCAAGUCAAGGCGGUAGCAAUACCGACUGGCGCACGGGUGCGGAACACGUAGGUAAUCUGCCCUUUACGGGGAGAACAACUCAUCGAAAGGUGAGCUAAAUCUCCGUAAUGUUUAGUCUAUGGCAUCAUUAGCAUAACCAAGUUUUCUGAAGGAUGAGCCUGCGUCUGAUUAGCUAGUUGGUGGUGUAAUGGACCACCAAGGCUACGAUCAGUAGCUGGUCUGAGAGGAUGAUCAGCCACAGUUGGGACUGAGACACGGCCAGACUCCGUACGGGAGCAGCAGGUGAAGGAAUAUUGCCUACAAUGGACGAAAGUCUGAAGCAGCAACGCCG
rnacentral:rRNA from 1 species